GCUUGUGUGCAAGCAGGAGGGGGCAGGGAUCUCUCAGUUAGGCAAGGGGAAGCCUCCCUUCCCAGCUGGCGGAUCCCCGCCCCCUCCUGCUUGCACACAAGU